CUGCUAUAGAACAACCUGCUGCCACCCCAUCUGCUGUGGCCAUUAUGAUCAUUCAAUGUCCUGCUCUAGGUCCAUGAACCUUCUUGUCUUGAUCCUUCCUUCCAGGCAGAGAGCAUCUAUUCACAGAACAUGUGGACUUCUUGAUGUCAUGAACUUACAAACAGACCCAUGCAUUGAUUCAGAAAACCCCAGGCUCCGUAUUAUUUAUUCUCUUUUAUAGGAACUUUUAUUGCUAGUGAAUCAUAAUUUACAGCCAGAUUUUGCAUCAAAUUGUUUUAGAAUUUCUAAUUCUGAUUCAAAAUACAGAAGUCUUCUAAUAUUCCCCUUCUAGCUUUUUUCUUCCCAAUGUUUUUCUGUGGAAUCCAUUUUCAUGUGGAAUUGUCUGAUGAUCUCCAAUAAAACUUCUUAUCAUUCAGAGGCACCAAAAUUGCUCAUCUCAUUAUUUGUUAAUAAUGAAAUGGUCUGUGCAUAUUUCUAUCUCUUUUCCUGUGCAACACAGGAGUACAUGUUAUCAGGAGACCGUACAAUAGAAAAAUUAAAAUGGUAUUCACCGGUGAGAUUUUAAUCCAAAAUGGAAUUCAGUUCCACAGCAGAAAUAGGAAAAUGUUUACAGGGAGGCAUCACUGAACAUAACACAUGUAACAUGAGACCUGUGAAUUGCAAUUGUCUCCAAAAGAGAAAGUCCUCAAUAAACUACACUCCGUGAAUUGAUUUAAACCAAUCUACAUAGUGGAAGCUCAGUGUAUACAAUAGUCCAUGGACUUGAGAAUUAGAGCUUUGGCUGAAUUCUGAUUGUACUGCACACCAACAAUGGUCUUGGAUAUGUCGCUUCAACUCUCUCAAACUAGGAUUGCUUUUCUCUAGAGAACGGAUCACAAUGCCUGCUUAUUAAGAUGUUCAUAAAAACUCAACAAGUAAAGGUGCAUGGUGGGGUAAUGAAAGAAUGCUCCCUUUUACUUCCAAGUAGCAUCAUAUGUAUGCCUGUGUGUGUGUUACUUUUUAUUUCAAAAUAACUAUAGAUUCAGGGCCAGGCGCGGUGGCUCAUGCCUGUAAUCCCAGCACUUUGGGAGGCCUAGGUGGGCGGAUCAUGAGGUCAGGAGGUAGAGACCAUUCUGACUAACACAGUGAAACCCUGUCUCUACUAAAAAUACAAAAAAUUAGCCAGGCAUGGUGGCACGCACCUGUAGUCCCAGCUACUUGGGAGGCUGAGGCAGGAGAAUUGCCUGAACCUGGGCGGACAGAAGUUGCAGUAAGCCAAGAUCAUGCCACUGCCCUCCAGCCUGGGCGACAGAGCAAGACUCCGUCUCAAAACAAAAACAAAAA
rnacentral:lncRNA from 1 species